rnacentral:rRNA from 1 species
GAUGAACGCUGGCGGCGUGCCUAAUACAUGCAAGUCGAGCGAACAGAUGAGGAGCUUGCUUCUCUGACGUUAGCGGCGGACGGGUGAGUAACACGUGGAUAACCUACCUAUAAGACUGGGAUAACUUCGGGAAACCGGAGCUAAUACCGGAUAAUAUAUUGAACCGCAUGGUUCAAUAGUGAAAGACGGUUUUGCUGUCACUUAUAGAUGGAUCCGCGCUGCAUUAGCUAGUUGGUAAGGUAACGGCUUACCAAGGCAACGAUGCGUAGCCGACCUGAGAGGGUGAUCGGCCACACUGGAACUGAGACACGGUCCAGACUCCUACGGGAGGCAGCAGUAGGGAAUCUUCCGCAAUGGGCGAAAGCUUGACGGAGCAACGCCGCGUGAGUGAUGAAGGUCUUCGGAUCGUAAAACUCUGUUAUUAGGGAAGAACAAAUGUGUAAGUAACUAUGCACGUCUUGACGGUACCUAAUCAGAAAGCCACGGCUAACUACGUG